GGGGGUGUGGCUCAAUUGGCAGAUUGAUUGCCUGGCAUGCAGAAAGCCCUAGGUUCAAUCCCCAGCAUUUCAU
rnacentral:tRNA from 1 species